rnacentral:rRNA from 1 species
CACCUUUGACAUGUACGGAAUCCUUUAGAGAUAGAGGAGUGCUCGAAAGAGAACCGUAACACAGGUGCUGCAUGGCUGUCGUCAGCUCGUGUCGUGAGAUGUUGGGUUAAGUCCCGCAACGAGCGCAACCCUUGCCAUUAGUUGCUACGAAAGGGCACUCUAAUGGGACUGCCGGUGACAAACCGGAGGAAGGUGGGGAUGACGUCAAGUCCUCAUGGCCCUUAUAGGUGGGGCUACACACGU